CACCCGUUGUAUGAGAAGCACCCGUUGUACUAAUCUUUGUAUGAGAAGCACCCGUUGUACAAAUUUUUAAAUGCAUUGGUACAACGGGAACUCCAUUUUCUUACAAGAGAUGUGAUCCCGUCGUUGUUGGUUGUCGAAUUCCUGCUGCACUCCAUGCCCACCACGUCCGUGUCUUCGCCCCUUCGUCAUCCAACACAAACAGCAGAACGGAGCAGUAGCCGUGAUUUGCCAGGUCGGAGAACUGACGCAGUUUGCUGCCAUGGAGUGCUCGCCCUUCUUGUGUGCCAUAAAGCCCCUCGAUCGAAGCUCCGACUCAAUUGCAAAUCAAAAUUGCCGACCGUGUCAAUCUCGCCGGAACAACGUCUAGCUCGUCGUGCUCCACUCAAUAUCCGUGCGUCACAACAUGCAUGCAAAUCAAACGAAGGAGUGUGGACAAAGUUAUAUAUCAAGCAAAUCAGAUGAAGGCGUGUGGACAAAGUUAUACAUCCAAUAGUCCACCAUGUACUACAUUGGUGAUAUAAACUUUCUUAUAUUUCUUUACCGAGAGAGAAGUUUGUUGUGCAAUAUGAAAAACAUUGUAAAUAAGUUAUCUGGGACUAAUACUAUGGCCUGCUUUUUGGUUUCUAUCAUACAGACCUUGCUUAGGUGUUUCAUGUCACAUUGUAUAACAAAUGCGCCGAUGGCAUGUAGAGGGUCA